UCCUACGGGGGGCAGCAGUGGGGGAUAUUGCACAAUGGAGGGAACUCUGAUGCAGCGACGCCGCGUGAGGGAAGAAGGUUUUCGGAUUGUAAACUCCUUUUGUUAGAGAAGAUAAUGACGGUAUCUAACGAAUAAGCACCGGCUAACUCCGUGCCAGCAGCCGCGGUAAUACGGAGGGUGCAAGCGUUACUCGGAAUCACUGGGCGUAAAGAGCGCGUAGGCGGGAUAGCAAGUCAGAUGUGAAAUCCUAUGCCUUAACCAUAGAACUGCAUUUGAAACUGUUAUUCUAGAGUAUGGGAGAGGUA
rnacentral:rRNA from 1 species